rnacentral:rRNA from 1 species
AUUGAACGCUGGCGGCAUGCCUUACACAUGCAAGUCGAACGGUAACGGGCCUUCGGGUGCCGACGAGUGGCGAACGGGUGAGUAAUGUAUCGGAACGUACCUUUCAGUGGGGGAUAACGUAGCGAAAGUUACGCUAAUACCGCAUAUUCUGUGAGCAGGAAAGCAGGGGAUCGCAAGACCUUGCGCUGAUUGAGCGGCCGAUAUCAGAUUAGCUAGUUGGUGAGGUAAAGGCUCACCAAGGCGACGAUCAGUAGCUGGUCUGAGAGGAUGAUCAGCCACACUGGGACUGAGACACGGCCCAGACUCCUACGGGAGGCAGCAGUGGGGAAUAUUGGACAAUGGGCGCAAGCCUGAUCCAGCCAUGCCGCGUGAGUGAUGACGGCCUUAGGGUUGUAAAGCUCUUUACCUGGGAAAUAAUGACGGUACCAGGAGAAUAAGCCCCGGCUAACUUCGUGCCAGCAGCCGCGGUAAAAU